rnacentral:tRNA from 1 species
GCACCUGUAGCUCAACUGGAUAGAGCAAUGGUCUACGGAACCAUAGGUUGGAGGUUCGAACCCUUCCAGGUGCGCUA